rnacentral:rRNA from 1 species
GACGAACGCUGGCGGCGUGCUUAACACAUGCAAGUCGAACGGAAAGGCCCUGCUUUUGUGGGGUGCUCGAGUGGCGAACGGGUGAGUAACACGUGAGUAACCUGCCCUUGACUGUGGGAUAACUUCAGGAAACUGGGGCUAAUACCGGAUAGGAGCUCCUGCUGCAUGGUGGGGGAUGGAAAGUUUCGGCGGUUGGGGAUGGACUCGCGGCUUAUCAGCUUGUUGGUGGGGUAGUGGCUUACCAAGGCUUUGACGGGUAGCCGGCCUGAGAGGGUGACCGGCCACAUUGGGACUGAGGUACGGCCCAGACUCCUACGGGAGGCAGCAGUGGGGAAUAUUGCACAAUGGGCGGAAGCCUGAUGCAGCAACGCCGCGUGCGGGAUGACGGCCUUCGGGUUGUAAACCGCUUUCGCCUGUGACGAAGCGUGAGUGACGGUAAUGGGUAAAGAAGCACCGGCUAACUACGUG